rnacentral:rRNA from 1 species
GCAAGUCGAACGAGUAGCAAUACUAGUGGCGCACGGGUGAGGAAUAUAUGGGUAAUCUGCCCUCGAGUCGGGGAUAACCAGUCGAAAGACUGGCUAAUACCGGAUAAGACCACAAGCACUGCGGUUCAAGGGGUUAAAGGUUUUUCGCUUGAGGAUGAGCCCAUACGGGAUUAGCUAGUUGGUGAGGUAAUGGAAAACCAAGGCUACGAUCCCUAACUGGUCUUAGAGGAUGAGC